rnacentral:rRNA from 1 species
AUUGAACGCUGGCGGCAGGCUUAACACAUGCAAGUCGAGCGAGCGGCGGACGGGUGAGUAAUGUCUGGGAAACUGCCGGAUGGAGGGGGAUAACUACUGGAAACGGUAACUAAUACCGCAUACUAUCAGAUGUGCCCAGCUGGGAUUAGCUAGUAGGGGGGGUAAUGGCUCACCUAGGCGACGAUCCCUAGCUGGUCUGAGAGGAUGACCAGCCAGACUGGAACGGAGACACGGUCCAGACGCCGACGGGAGGCAGCAGGGGAGAAUAUCGCACAAUGGGCGCAAGCCUGCUGCAGCCAUGCCGCGUGGGUGAAGAAGGCCUUCGGGUUGUAAAGCACUUUCAGCGAGUAGGCGUUACUCGCAGAAGAAGCACCGGCUAACUCCGUGCCAGCAGCCGCGGUAAUAC